GGGACCCCGGUGGGCGGCGGUGCGGGCGGCGAGCGCGGAGCCAGCUCUUGCCCUGCGCUGCCGGAGGCCGCCACCAUGACCCUCACCAAAGGCUCCUUCACCUACUCCAACGGGGAGGAGUACCGCGGCGAGUGGAAGGAAGGUCGCAGGCACGGCGUUGGGCAGCUGAUGUUUGCUGAUGGCACCGCUUACGUGGGGCACUUCGAGAACGGGCUGUUCCACGGCUGUGGCGUGCUCACCUUCUCUGACGGCUCCAGGUGAGCGUGGCACCCCUGCGUACACCCCCUGAGCACCCCCGCUUGCCGCGGGGAGCUGCUGCCUCAGGAGCAACUCUUGCCCAGGUACGAGGGGGAGUUUGUGCAGGGCAAGUUCAACGGCGUCGGCGUCUUCACCCGCUGCGACAACAUGACUUUUGAGGGCGAGUUCAAAGGCGGGCGUGUGUACGGCUUCGGUCUCCUGACCUUCCCCGAUGGCUCCCACGGGGUGCCCCGCAACGAGGGCUUCUUUGAGAACAACAAGCUGCUGCGGCGCGAGAAGUGCCCGGCCGUCAUCCAGAGGGCCCAGGGUGCCUCCAAGUCUGCACACAACCUGACAGCGUGAUGGUGCCCCACGUCCCCUCCCGCCGCAGAAGGGACCCCCCCACUGGGCAUCAGCUGGCCCUGCCAUCCCCAGAGCAGGGAUGUGGCACUGCUGGGUGCCCCCCUGCCCUCUGUCUCCGCCAAGCCCCCCCUGCCAAACCCCCAUGGCUGGGGAGGACCCCUCCACCCAAGUGCCGCAGGGCAGCCGUGGUGCCUUCUCUCUCUGGCUAUAGCCCUGGCACCCGCUGGAGCAGCACGGGGACGGGGUGGCUGGGGCUCGGCUCCUCUGCCCCCAGGAAGACUGUGGAGCGCUGGGGCUGCUGGCCUGCUGCAGAGGAUGGAGCAGGGGUGUAGGGGCUGAGCCCUCACCCCACUGCCAGGGUGCCUUGGCUGGGAGCUGCUGGCUGGACCACGCGCUUGCAGAGCGGCAACUCCUAGCCCACUUCACUACCCUGGUUUCGAGGCAAGGUGGGCACCCUGUGGCCUGUCCCCCUUCUGGGUGACUGGCCAUCCCCCAGCUUGCCUGGGCAGGGUGACGUGGUGCCCUGAAAGGACCCAGCCUGCUCUCGGCCCUGGCAAUGGGCUGUGUCCCCCUCAUCCCUGUGCCUUGGGGACAUCUGCAGCAGUAUCCCCAAGAAAGGGGAUCAGGGAACACGCAGCCUGGCUAUGUCUGCUGCACACUGGGGGAGGGCUGGAGGCAUGGUGAGCUGGGAGCAGGGUCUGACAGAGCCCAGAAUGAGGGGCACAAGCAGGGCUGUGUAGGGGCCAGGGCUGGAGCAGGGGGUCCAUUCGGGGCAGGUGGGGAUAGGGGCACGGUGAAGGGGCAGGCAGGGUGGGCAGGGAGCACACAGCUCCCCAUCUUGCCCCCCACGUGCAUCCUUCAUCUCCCUUCACCCUGGUGCGGUCUGGCCGUGGUGCGGGGGUCCCGGCAGCCCUCGCAGCCAUGGCCUUCCCUGCCGGUCUCUGCCCGCACCGGUCCCGUGCCUUGCCGUGACCCUGCCUUGUGCUGCUGCCUGCACAGGCCUCAGCUGAGUAAAUCACGUUGCCAAACGCA
rnacentral:lncRNA from 1 species